rnacentral:lncRNA from 1 species
GCCCGCACUUCCAUCUCCAUCUCCAUCUUCCACUGUCAUGACCCAAAAACUAAGGGUCAUGAUAGCACUUGUUGCGUCAAGCCUUGACAAGUAAGCCUAUCACCCAAACUGAUAUGAAAAGGGAACAACAACACCAAAACCCAAGGUAAGGCUUCUAGAGCGAAGCCGAACCACACAUAUACAAUAAUAGCGGAAAAAUACAUGACAAAGAUACCAUAAAUCUCCCAAAAUCCGGUGUCACCGUGUAAGAACCAAGUAAAUACAUCUCGAAGUCAAAAUACACAAUUGAUAGUCCAAAAGGAACAUAAUCUGUUUCUGAAUACGAAAGCAAGACAUAAACUAAACAAGAUGGGGUAGCAGAUCAACUCUGAAAGCAUAGCAAGGGAGAAAUAAAAAAUGAAAUCUUGAGAUUUUAUCAAGCACUGUACAGGGAGGACGGACAGUGAAGGCCCAAAGCGUGCUUUGAAAAUCUAAACAACCACUCAGGAAGAGAAAAACUAGCUAGAAAGAAACCUUGACGACGAAGGGGUAAACGCAGUCAUCAACUCUUGUGCCCCAGACAAGAGUCAAUGGCCUUCUAUCUAAGUGCAUGGGAUUUCAUCAAGGAUGAUGUUAUGGGAGUUCUCAGCCACUUUCAUUAGCAUUGCCACAUGGUCAAAUCCAACAAUGCCUCAUUCAUAGCUACAACAACAACAACAACAUACCCAGUGUAUUCCCACAUUGGGGGCCUCCUUCAUAGCUCUUAUACCAAAAAGAAAGGUUGCAUUGCACCUUAGAGACUUUCAGGCCCAUAAGUCUCAUAGGGAGUGUGUAUAAGAUCCUGGCCAAAAUAUUAGCUAAGAGGCUCAAAACAGUAAUCUGGAAACUAGUGUCAGGGGAGUAAAAUGCCUUCCUUAAGAAUAGGCAGAUCGUUGAUUCUUCUUUAAUUGCUAAUGAAAUGCUAGGUGGCAGACAAAAAUAAGGAGUUCCUAGGACUUUAUGCAAGCAGAUGUAGAAAGCUUUUGAUAAAGUUGGAACUACCUGCUAGAUAUGCUGAAGCAAAUUGGUUUAGGUGAGAGAUGAAUCAAAUGGAUCAAAUAUCGUCUCUCUACUGUAAAAUACUCCAUUCUGGCGAACAGAGAACCAACCGUUUUUUUCUCCCCUUAAAAAGGAAUUAGACAAAGGGAUCUUCUUUCCCUUCUCUUAUUCAUUUUAGCCAUAGAGGGGUUGAGCAAGAUGUUCGACAAAGCCAAAGCAAAUCAGAUUGAGAGCUUCAAGGUGGAAAAUGGCCCGCACUUCCAUCUCCAUCUCCAUCUUCCACUGUCAUGACCCAAAAACUAAGGGUCAUGAUAGCACUUGUUGCGUCAAGCCUUGACAAGUAAGCCUAUCACCCAAACUGAUAUGAAAAGGGAACAACAACACCAAAACCCAAGGUAAGGCUUCUAGAGCGAAGCCGAACCACACAUAUACAAUAAUAGCGGAAAAAUACAUGACAAAGAUACCAUAAAUCUCCCAAAAUCCGGUGUCACCGUGUAAGAACCAAGUAAAUACAUCUCGAAGUCAAAAUACACAAUUGAUAGUCCAAAAGGAACAUAAUCUGUUUCUGAAUACGAAAGCAAGACAUAAACUAAACAAGAUGAGGUAGCAGAUCAACUCUGAAAGCAUAGACCGACCGCUACCUCGAAAAAUACUCCAAACACCGCCCGAAUCAACUACCGUGCGGCGCUCUCGUACUAGGAUCUGCACCGAAAGUCCGUAGUAGGGAAGAAUACGAUCCACUUGUACUCAGUAGGUAUCAUAGGACUGAGCAAAGUAGAAAAUAAAGUAUAUAGAAUACACUCUUUUGGCACUUCACCUGCAAUCGGAAAAUGUCCCAACGGUAGCCCACACCGUCUCCACUGACAAUUCUACAAAUAUACACCUAUACCAAAUACAAGUAUGAGAAAUAAGCACAAAUAGAUAGAUAUCAAUUCAAGGACGAAAUACAACAUAGAAU